GCGGGGUUGGUCGAGUGGUAAGAUGCAUCCUUCCCAUUCACACUCAAUAUUGGUGUUCGUGGAAACCGGAUGAGAUCGGCGGUUCAAACCCGUCACUUCGCA